rnacentral:rRNA from 1 species
AUUGAACGCUGGCGGCAGGCCUAACACCUGCAAGUCGGGCGGGCGGCGGACGGGUGAGUAAUGUAUGGGGAUCUGCCUGAUGGAGGGGGCUAACUACUGGAAACGGUAGCUCAUACCGCAUACCAUCCUAUCACCCCAUCUGGGAGUAGCUUGUAGGUGAGGUAACGGCUCACCUAGGCGACGAUCCCUAGCUGGUCUGAGAGGAUGAUCAGCCACACUGGGACUGAGACACGGCCCAGACUCCUACGGGAGGCAGCAGUGGGGAAUAUUGCACAAUGGGCGAAAGCCUGAGGCAGCCAGGCCGCGUGUAUGAAGAAGGCCUUAGGGUUGUAAAGUACUGUCAGCGGGGAGGCGUUACCCGCAGAAGAAGCACCGGCUAACUACGUGCCAGCCGCCGCGGUAAUAC